rnacentral:rRNA from 1 species
CCUACGGGUGGCAGCAGUGAGGAAUAUUGGUCAAUGGUCGGGAGACUGAACCAGCCAAGCCGCGUGAGGGAUGAAGGUACAGAGUAUCGUAAACCUCUUUUGUCAGGGAACAAAGGCGGGGACGUGUCCCCGGAUGAGUGUACCUGAAGAAAAAGCAUCGGCUAACUCCGUGCCAGCAGCCGCGGUAAUACGGAGGAUGCGAGCGUUAUCCGGAUUUACUGGGUUUAAAGGGUGCGCAGGCUGUCUGUUAAGUCAGCGGUCAAAGCCCGGGGCUCAACCCCGGACCGCCGUUGAAACUGGCAGACUAGAGUUGGAGAGAGGUAUGCGGAAUGCGCGGUGUAGCGGUGAAAUGCAUAGAUAGCGCGAAGAACUCCGAUUGCGAAGGCAGCAUGCCGGCUCCACACUGACGCUGAGGCACGAAAGCGUGGGUAGCGAACAGGAUUAGAUACCCGGGUAGUC